GCGCCCGUAGCUCAGAUGGAUAGAGCGACUGGCUUCGAACCAGUAGGCUGGGUGUUCGAUCCACCCCGGGCGCGCCA
rnacentral:tRNA from 2 species